rnacentral:misc_RNA from 1 species
CACACUACAACCAAGCACGUUUUUGAUUUCCGCGCUGGCCGUCAUUGAUCUCUGAAUCACCCUCAAGUCUCCUAAUCUUAAAGACGCUGCGGCUCAUCAACUGGGUAGCCGUCAUCUUCCUUCGCGCUUGCGCGCACUUCUGCCGCCUCGCAAGAGGUGAGCUACCUACCACUUUUGCUGCUGUGGCUGCGCUUCCAACGUUGCUAGCGAGGCUGAAGCGCGCUGUCAUCCACCGUUCCUUGUGCACCGCAACUUGCCUAAUGCGCACAAAGGACAACGCAGCGCCACAGCCACAUGCGCCGCCUGCAGCAGCAACUCGGGCGCCGUGUUUGGACUGCGGGCUUGAUUCCAAACACCCGUCGACUUGUGACCUCCCCAGCCCUAGGGAUAGACGUGUCAACUACAUCACCACCGCUGCCAGGUCGUUCUUCUGCGCCUACAGCCUCCGUGGCACCUCUUCCUACUGAGGUGUUGAGGGCUGCACCCGCUGCACCCACUGCACCGAAAGCUGCACCCGCUGCACCCACUGCACCGAAAGCUGCACCCGCUGCACCCACUGCACCGAAAGCUGCACCCGCUGCACCGAAAGCUGUACCCGCUGCACCUACUGCACCCGCUGCACCGAAAGCUGCACCCGCUGCACCCACUGCACCCGCUGCACCUACUGCACCUACUGCACCCGCUGCACCGAAAGCUGCACCCGCUGCACCCACUGCACCGAAAGCUGCACCCGCUGCACCGAAAGCUGCACCCACUGCACCGAAAGCUGUACCCGCUGCACCUACUGCACCCGCUGCACCGAAAGCUGCACCCGCUGCACCCACUGCACCCACUGCACCGAAAGCUGCACCCGCUGCACCCACUGCACCGAAAGCUGCACCCGCUGCACCCACUGCACCGAAAGCUGCACCCGCUGCACCGAAAGCUGCACCCACUGCACCGAAAGCUGUACCCGCUGCACCUACUGCACCCGCUGCACCGAAAGCUGCACCCACUGCACCGAAAGCUGCACCCGCUGCACCCACUGCACCCGCUGCACCCGCUGCACCGAAAGCUGCACCCACUGCACCCGCUGCACCGAAAGCUGCACCCGCUGCACCCACUGCACCGAAAGCUGCACCCGCUGCACCUACUGCACCCGCUGCACCCGCUGCACCGAAAGCUGCACCCGCUGCACCCACUGCACCGAAAGCUGCACCCGCUGCACCCACUGCACCGAAAGCUGCACCCGCUGCACCUACUGCACCCGCUGCACCCGCUGCACCGAAAGCUGCACCUACUGCACCGAAAGCUGUACCCGCUGCACCGAAAGCUGCACCCGCUGCACCCACUGCACCCGCUUCUUCCGAUGCUUCCUGGAAGGUGCAGUCACGAAAGGGAAGCGUUGCGGGUGGAAGUUAUGCUGCUGAACAGAGGAUGUCUUCGAGUGGCGUUUCGCGCCCUCGAACCGCAGUACUUCAUGAGGCUGGUGCGACACACACGGUGGCAUGCGCACCGUCCCGGAAGCAGCUCCCUCGCCGAGCUGAUGCCAAAGGUCCUGCUGUGUCUUCCCCUCCUCCCUCACCGCCACCGGCGCCGUCUCCAUCAGCCGCACCUCCAGCACCAUCAAUUCCACCGUCUGCGCCGCCGGUACACGCUACCAUCGCGCCUCCCUCCAUAAGUGCGGUGGGCGACGUGGACAGCGAGGCGGGGGAGGGGAGGCUUUUCGAGGCUCUUCGACCCUCGCUCUCGACACGCGUCGAGGCGGCCGUACGACAGGGUAGAGCAGAGCGCCCUCUGAAGGCGUCCUCUAAAGCCCAGCAGCCGCAGGCGGAAAAACGGGAGCCGCGUGCUCUUUGUGGGGACACGGAACCGCAAACUGAUUCGUCCGAGCUUGAAGGCGCGGCUUCCGGGGAUUGGGGGUGGGCUAAGCGAGAAGGGCGGCUACAGCCACUUCCGGCGUCCAUCUCCUGCAGCAUCGAUCGACAUGAAAUCCCAGCUGAGCUGGGGGGUGAUGAGGGCAGUAGGGUCGCCGAGAGCACCACCUCAGGAUCGACUGCUAGUGACUUUUCUCGAGGUGAGGCCUCCACGGCGCCUGAAGACUCCGCACCGCCGUCCUCUGCACUUGCAGGAGAGCUAGAGGCCGCCACAGUGGAGCGCUUGCCUGGAGAGGUGUGGUGCGGUGCAGAGGCCGAAGGCUGUGAGAAGGGCGCCACGCCGCCACCGCGCCCUCCAAUCGCGGACAACAGCGAUGUGUGCCUUGUAGUGUCGACUUCUUUCACACCUCAACUAUACGCGAUUACGGUGCAGCUGCGAGAGCCGCCGUCAAGCCCAAUGGCCUGCGUGCAAGCUGUUGCAGGUGCAUUGGACGCGGUGGAGGUGCACUGCGACGCAGCUGUGGCCGCCCGAGCCGCAGGCAGGGCCGACGCGAGAGUGAAGGCAGCGCCAGACAUCACCGUUACGUGGUGCACCUUGCCGCAUUGCCCCUUCUUCGCAUCGACGCAGAGCCCGGCGGAGCUGCCGUUGUCGCAGCGUGUCAGCUAUGUGGCGGCCAAGGAGGCGGUGAUGAAGCGCUUCCACCACCUUGUGGCACGAUUUGGGUCACUUGUGCGUUUUGCAGCAGCGGCCAGCAGCGGGUCGGUGCUCGACUUUGGCGCGGAGGUUUUUUUUGCGUGCCCGGUGCGGCGGCUGCUCUCUCUGCGAGCCGCGGCGUGUGACAGCGGCGACAAGACGGCAGCAGCGGCGGAGUCGUCCUCGUCGCCCGUUGCCACCGUCUCUGUGGGGUUCCCGCUGAGCCGCGUGGGCAUUUUUCCCUCGACCACUACGGUGGCCUCCCUGCAACGUCUCUGCGGGUCAGUUCACACGGUGAAAUGGGUGCCUGUGCUGCACACAUAUGACGUGAGCAGCCUGGCUGAUAUUGGUUUGCUGAGUAUCCCUGACGCUGUCGGUGACGCUACGGACAAGAGUAAAGCGAAGCAGUGGUGGCUACUGCUUGAGCAGCUCAUUCUCGAGCACGUGUGCCAGUCACCUGCGCAGCGUCGGUGGGCCGUGGAGAUGCUAAUGUGGAGUCGUGGCUUUCAUGACGCUGCGGUGCGUCACAAGGCAGUCGGCGCCAUGUCCGCAGACAUCGCAGAUGGUUGGUACACAUACGCAAUGGGGGCUCUUAGCCGGAAUCCCUCAUCCACAGAAGGGGGCGCUGCACGCGGAGAUGCUGAAAGCACCACCGGGGUUCAGCCACUUCUGACAACACCCCCCUGCAGAGGCGCCGCUCAUGCUGUACAGGUACACUCGAGGUCUCUGCGAUGCUUGCUGCCUCCUCUGCCACACCACCGCUUCCUCACCUUCCCGCACGUGCAGCGUUCGCUGUGGAUGAAUAAAAUGCAAGCACUGACUGCCACAGAAGAGUCCGCUGGAGCGGCCGUGCUGCUUGACUGCUCUGACAAGGCUGUGAUGGACACGUUGGAUUUGGUGGAGACGCACCUCGCUGGCACCGCCGCGCAGCGGGCUCGCUUGCCCUAUCUGAACGUCGUAUUAAUCGGAGACGCUACCACUGCGCAGCCGAUUCUUCAACGCCUGCCUUGCGCUGCUGUCAUCUCCUCCGCGUCUGCGUUUUGCGAAAUGGGGCAUGCCUCCGUGCAGCAGGUGCGCCUGUACGCUUCGCCGAAGUGGCCGACAGAUCUUCAGCAAGACACGUUGUUGGCAGCCUUGACAUACCUCAAGCGCCGCGGAGCACCUCACGUCGUCGCCGCCGGCGCGGCGCCGCAGCGGCUUCUGCUAGCACUGUGUCAGGAGGCGGUGUUGGUAGCGCGCUCGCUGCCUGAUGCCAUGGCUGUCGAAUCCGCGGCCAAGGACCAGCUGGGUCUGUGCUUGGGACCCUUCCGGCUUAUGGACGCCUAUGGCACCGUUGCCGUCGCUUCCAUGGCCGCCGCAGAGCGGACGCGCACCGCGGCGGCCAGCGAUGUGGCGGCUCAAGCCGCCGUAGCCCCUGUGCACGAGCUGGAAAGCUGCAUGCGGUCCAUGGCCCGUGAAGGGCUGCUAGGAGCGAGAGGUGCACGUGGAGGUUUCUAUGAUUCCGCUGUGGCAACUAACGAAGCAGUCUCCGCCGCUCCGCUGCUUCGGGAGGCGGUGCUGAACGCGUACGUCCGCCACACGACGCUGGCGCAGGUGGGCGACCGACUUCGCGCGGCUGUGCUGAACGUGGCCUGCGAGCUGCUAACCCGCGGUGAGGUGCAGCGGGUCGAUGAUGUCGACCUGCUAUCGAUGAGUGCCCUUGGAUGGCGGGAGGAGACGGGCGGGGUUCUUUAUCAGGUGGACCAGCUGGGGGUAGACGGUUUGCCACGGCUGGUGGAGCACAUGACAUGCUUAGCCACGACAGGUAUUGCACCGCACCUCGCUCCUCACCCGUUGCUCUUGCGCAUGGUGACAGAGAAGGUGCGCUUCGCCAGCCUCAAGGCUAGCGGCCUGUUGUGACGGCUGUAAAGGGGGGGGGUGCGUUCGAUCACCGUCGUGUGUUCUUGUACGUGCGUUGCCCCUUCGUGUAUUGUCGCGUGUCUGUGCCGAGUGGUGCCGUUGUUGUCGGCGCGAGUGGGAGGCAGGGCGGCGUGAGCGAUGCCCCUCCUUCUCCCCUUUCGCCCUCUCCCUCGCGUGCGUGCGUGCGUAAGCUGUUACUCGUUUGGUCUCACGCAUAUUGCCUAACACGAUUGCUG